rnacentral:rRNA from 1 species
GAAUUCGCCCUUAGAGUUUGAUCCUGGCUCAGGACGAACGCUGGCGGCGUGCUUAACACACGCAAGUCGAGCGAAGUGCUUUAGACUGAUCCCUUCGGGGUGACGUCUUUAGUAUCUUAGCGGCGGACGGGUGAGUAACGCGUGAGAAACCUGCCUUUCACAAAGGAAUAGCCUCGGGAAACUGGGAUUAAUACCUUAUGAUACCUUAACUCCACAUGGAGCCUAGGUUAAAGCGUAAAGCGGUGAAAGAUGGUCUCGCGUCCCAUUAGUUAGUUGGUGAGGUAAUGGCUCACCAAGACCAUGAUGGGUAACCGGCCUGAGAGGGUGAACGGUCACACUGGAACUGAGACACGGUCCAGACUCCUACGGGAGGCAGCAGUGGGGAAUAUUGCACAAUGGAGGAAACUCUGAUGCAGCGACGCCGCGUGAAUGAUGAAGGUCUUCGGAUCGUAAAAUUCUGUCCUAGGGGACGAUAAUGACGGUACCCUAGGAGGAAGCCCCGGCUAACUAUGUGCCAGCAGCCGCGGUAAUACAUAGGGGGCAAGCGUUGUCCGGAUUUAUUGGGCGUAAAGGGUACGCAGGCGGUCCUUUAAGUCAGAUGUGAAAUCUUACGGCUCAACCGUAAUUAGCAUUUGAAACUGGAGGACUUGAGUUAAGGAGAGGAAAGUGGAAUUCCUAGUGUAGCGGUGAAAUGCGUAGAUAUUAGGAGGAAUACCAGUGGCGAAGGCGACUUUCUGGACUUAUACUGACGCUGAGGUACGAAAGCGUGGGGAUCAAACAGGAUUAGAUACCCUGGUAGUCCACGCCGUAAACUAUGAUUACUCGUUGUUUGCGAUAUACUGUAAGCGACUGCGCGAAAGCAUUAAGUAAUCCACCUGGGGAGCACGUUGGCAACAAUGAAACUCAAAGGAAUUGACGGGGGCCCGCACAAGCGGAGGAACAUGUGGUUUAAUUCGAUGAUACGCGAGGAACCUUACCUGGGCUUAAAUGGGAAGUGACAGUUUUGGAAACAAAAUUUUCUUCGGACACUUUUCAAGGUGCUGCAUGGUUGUCGUCAGCUCGUGCCGUGAGGUGUCGGGUUAAGUCCCAUAACGAGCGCAACCCUUGUCGAUAGUUGCCAGCAUGUAAUGAUGGGGGCUCUAUCGAGACUGCCGGUGUAAACCGUGAGGAAGGUGGGGAUGACGUCAAAUCAGCACGGCCCUUACGUCCAGGGCUACACACGUGUUACAAUGGUCGGUACAAUGGGCAGCUACUCAGCGAUGAGAUGCUAAUCUUCAAAACCGAUCUCAGUUCGGAUCGGAGUCUGCAACUCGACUCCGUGAAGCUGGAUUCGCUAGUAAUCGCAUAUCAGCCAUGAUGCGGUGAAUAAGUUCCCGGGCCUUGCACACACCGCCCGUCA